AAACAUUUCUUUCAGUCACAUAAAAGGUUCGAUAUUCAAAAAGGAAAAGGAGUCGCAUCCUCUAGGAAAACUAAUUGCAUCCUCCAAAAAGGAGUUUUCAUCUGAGAAAAUAAAGUUUACAUCUUCCAAUAAGAUAAAGUUUGAAAAGUAAAGUAAAAAGAAAGAGAGAGAGAGAGAGAGAGAGAGAGGAUUAUAUGAGUUUCCUGGUACCAAUAAAGUCCACAAUGAAGAUUGAUGUGGUGGUGCGCGGCGGAUUAGGAACGUUCGAUUUUACGGUUCUCUUCUCCAUUAUCUAUAUUCAUGUAUAUUUUUUUUUUUAUUUGAGUCUUGUUGGUUGUGUUGUUAAAUGGAUUUGGGUUUGUUUAUGGUUAUGACUUGAUUUGAUGAAAGAAGAUGGUAGAUUUUUAGAUCUUUCUAUAUUUUUCUUCUCUAGUCUUCUUUCUUAGGUUGUUUUUUUUUUUCUUUGUUUUAGGAAAAAACAAACUUCUAUGUUCUCUUCCCUCUUUUUUUUUUUUUGAAAAAAAAUCACUCAUUUUAUAUGUCAUGAUUUUUCUGGAAGAAACAAAAUAAAUCUUUGUCUCUUUGAUUUUUUUUGUUCUCAAUUUAUAGGCUACAAAGGUAAAUAUUUGUGUCGACGAAAUAAAUUGAUGUUUAGGUUUUCUAUUGUUUUUGCAUAAAUGAUGAACUGUGUAGAGAUGAACAAGAAAAAGAAUGGUUGAACUCUUUUUGAUAGUGUGCAUUCUUAGUGAAGAUUAUAGCUUUAUUAGAGAGAAAAAAAUAGAAAUUGAAAAGAAGGAGAGGGAGGCUGAAAAGAAGGGGAGGGAGGCGUUGGGCGGAGAAAGAAAAAAGUAUAUUUUUUGUUUUAUAUUUUAUUUUAUGCGGUAAGUAUAAUGUAAUUGGAACUUAGAUAAAUAUGUAUUCAAAAUUG
rnacentral:lncRNA from 1 species